GAGCAGUUGGAUUCGGGGCCGUAACACUGUCUGAGAGGUUUACAUUUCUCACAGUGAACCGGUCUCUUUUUCAGCUGCUUC
rnacentral:pre_miRNA from 1 species